GUGUCAGCAGCCGCGGUAAUACGUAGGGUGCAAGCGUUAAUCGGAAUUACUGGGCGUAAAGCGUGCGCAGGCGGUUUUGUAAGUCUGACGUGAAAUCCCCGGGCUCAACCUGGGAAUUGCGUUGGAGACUGCAAGGCUAGAAUCUGGCAGAGGGGGGUAGAAUUCCACGUGUAGCAGUGAAAUGCGUAGAGAUGUGGAGGAACACCGAUGGCGAAGGCAGCCCCCUGGGUCAAGAUUGACGCUCAUGCACGAAAGCGUGGGGAGCAAACAGGAUUAGAUACCCUGGUAGUCCACGCCCUAAACGAUGUCUACUAGUUGUCGGGUCUUAAUUGACUUGGUAACGCAGCUAACGCGUGAAGUAGACCGCCUGGGGAGUACGGUCGCAAGAUUAAAACUUAAAUGAAUUGGCGGGG
rnacentral:rRNA from 1 species